rnacentral:tRNA from 1 species
AGUUAAUAAGCUUAUACAAGCUUAUAUUUUGAAAAUAUAAAAAAAAGGUUUAACUCCUUUAUUAACUU